rnacentral:rRNA from 1 species
CGGGGUGAGUAACGCGUGGAGAACCUGCCCUGCACAGGGGGAUAACACUUAGAAAUAGGUGCUAAGACCGCAUAAGCGCACGGGACCGCAUGGUACAGUGUGAAAAAUGGAAACAUGGUGCAGGAUGGCUCCGCGUCUGAUUAGCUGGUUGGCGGGGUAACGGCCCACCAAGGCGACGAUCAGUAGCCGGCCUGAGAGGGUGACCGGCCACAUUGGGACUGAGACACGGCCCAAACUCCUACGGGAGGCAGCAG